rnacentral:misc_RNA from 1 species
UACGUAAGUGGCAAGCGUUAUCAGGAAUUAUUGGGCGUAAAGAGCGCGUAGGCGGUCUGUUAAGUCUGAUGUGAAAGCCCCCGGCUCAACAGGGGAGGGUCAUUGGCAACUGGCAGACUUGAGUGCAGAAGAGGAGAGUGGAAUUCCAUGUGUAGCGGUGAAAUGCGCAUAGAUAUGGAGGAACACCAGUGGCGAAGGCGGCUCUCUGGUCUGCAACUGACGCUGAGGUGAGAAAGCGUGGGGAUAAAACAGG